rnacentral:rRNA from 1 species
GACGAACGCUGGCGGCGGUGCCUAACACAUGCAAGUCGAGCGGAGCAGUUAAGGAGGAAGUUUUCGGAUGGAAUUUUGACAGUUUAGCGGCGGACGGGUGAGUAACGCGUGAGCGACCAACCUUGCACAGGGGGAUAACGGACCGAAAGGUUCACUAAUACCGCAUGAGACCACGGUGUUGCAUGACACAGAGGUCAAAGGAGCAAUCCGGUGCAAGACGGGCUCGCGUCCGAUUAGGUAGUUGGUGGGGUAAAGGCCUACCAAGCCAAUGAUCGGUAGCCGACCUGAGAGGGUGAUCGGCCACAUUGGAACUGAGAUACGGUCCAA